rnacentral:misc_RNA from 1 species
GAUGAAGAACGUAGCGAAAUGCGAUAAGUAGUGUGAAUUGCAGAAUUCAGUGAAUCAUCGAAUCUUUGAACGCACAUUGCGCCCCUUGGUAUCCCGAGGGGCAUGCCUGUUCGAGCGUCAUUUCACCACUCAAGCCUGGCUUGGUGUUGGGCGACGUCCUCUUUGGGGACGCGCCUCGAAACGCUCGGCGGCGUGGCACCGGCUUUAAGCGUAGCAGAAUCUUUCGCUUUGGAAGUCGGGGCCCCGUCUGCCGGAAGACCUGCUCGCAAGGUUGACCUCGGAUCAGGCAGGGAUACCCGCUGAACUUAAGCAUAUCAAUAGGCGGAGGA